CCAGAGAAUUUAGCAGAGAUGCUUUAGUGCCUUCGGGAACUCUGAGACAGGUGCUGCAUGGCUGUCGUCAGCUCGUGUUGUGAAAUGUUGGGUUAAGUCCCGCAACGAGCGCAACCCUUAUCCUUUGUUGCCAGCACGUAAUGGUGGGAACUCAAAGGAGACUGCCGGUGAUAAACCGGAGGAAGGUGGGGAUGACGUCAAGUCAUCAUGGCCCUUACGAGUAGGGCUACACACGUGCUACAAUGGCGCAUACAAAGAGAAGCGACCUCGCGAGAGCAAGCGGACCUCAUAAAGUGCGUCGUAGUCCGGAUUGGAGUCUGCAACUCGACUCCAUGAAGUCGGAAUCGCUAGUAAUCGUAAAUCAGAAUGUUACGGUGAAUACGUUCCCGGGCCUUGUACACACCGCCCGUCACACCAUGGGAGUGGGUUGCAAAAGAAGUAGAUAGCUUAACCUUCUGGAGGGCGUUUACCACUUUGUGAUUCAUGACUGGGGUGAAGUCGUAACAAGGUAAGCGUAGUGCU
rnacentral:rRNA from 1 species